GAUAUGCAACGUAGAACUCGUCCGAGAGCUCCUCCGGCAUACCAUGCAAAGCUUCAUGUGGAUGCGGCCGUGAGACCAGGGCGAGGUGGUUCAGCAGCAGUGGUAUGCAGGGAUGCCAAGGGGAACUACCUGGGUAGCACAGCCCUGGUGGUGCAAGGAGUGGACGACCCAAUGAUUUUAGAGUCGAUAGCCUGCAGGGAGGCACUUUGUGCAGCUGAGGAUCUUCUGUUGCAGAGUUUUGUGGUCGCGUCAGACGCAAAACAGGUGGUGAGAGACAUUGCUGAAGGUUUCCACGGCAAACAUGGCGCAAUUAUCAACAAGAUCAAAGCCUAUUCUACUGCUUUUUCCUGUAGUUUAAUUUUUGAAAGUCGAUACAGUAACGUAGAAGCUCACCGCCUAGCUAGAUACGCUCUUAAUAUAGCACCUGGGCGUCAUGUGUGGUUUGGCCAACCACAUGAUGUAAGCAUUAUCCCACUUUAUGUGGAAUUC
rnacentral:rRNA from 1 species